AUGAUGCACAGCAUCAGGAAUGGCAGGAAUGCAUUCCUGGUCAUUCCCAGACCUGUAACACUUCCAGCAGCCUCUGGRAGACUCUUCUGGCCUUAUUCCUGGUUGGUUUGCAUCAUUCCCCAGGAGCUGAGAGAUCUGGYGUCCAGGCACCCGAUGCUGCUUCUCCCCAGGCGUUCCUUCCCCUGCUGAAGAAAGCUGCCCGGGAGAGCACAGACAAGGGACUGAGUUGCAGCAAGGCUGCCCUCAACAUGCUCACCAAGUGCCAGGCUCUGACCUACAGGGAGACCGGAAUCCUCUGCGUGGCGCUUCACCCUGGCCGGGUGAAAACCGACAUGGGCACCCAGGAGGUGGGUUCUGGCUGGGCAGGGGUGAGGGGGCCCCACGUACRGGAUCCAGCCCAGCAAACUCACACUCAUGCUUGA
rnacentral:lncRNA from 1 species